GAGGAGGACAUGACCAAAGUGGAGUUCGAGACGAGCGAGGAGGUGGAUGUGACCCCCAAGUUCGACACUGUGGGCCUGCGGGAGGACCUGCUGCGCGGCCUACAGUUUUGAGAAACCUUCAGCGAUCCAGCAGCGUGCUAUCAAGCAGAUAAUUAAAGGGAGAGAUGUCGUGGCACAGUCUCAGUCUGGCACAGGCAAGACGGCCACCUUCAGUAUCUCAGUGCUUCAGUGCUUGGAUAUCCAGGUUCGAGAAACCCAAGCUUUGAUUCUGGCUCCAACAAGAGAGUUAACAGUGCAGAUUCAGAAGGGUUUGCUUACCCUGGGGGAUUACAUGAACGUGCAGUGCCAUGCCUGCAUUGGGGGCACCAACGUCGGGGAGGACAUCCGGAAGCUGGACUAUGGGCAGCAUGUGGUGGCGGGCAUGCCGGGACUUGUCUUUGAUAUGAUUCGCCCUAGAAGUUUAAGGACACGGGCUAUCAAGAUGUUGGUUUUGGAUGAGGCUGAUGAAAUGCUGAACAAAGGUUUCAAGGAGCAGAUCUAUGAUGUGUACAGGUACUUGCCACCAGCCACACAGGUCGUUCUCAUCAGCGCCACACUGCCUCAUGAGAUCCUGGAGAUGACCAACAAGUUCAUGACCGACCCCAUCCGCAUCCUGGUGAAGCGUGAUGAAUUGACUCUGGAAGGCAUCAAACAGUUCUUUGUGGCGGUGGAAAGAGAGGAAUGGAAGUUUGAUACUGUGUGAUCUCUACGACACGCUGACCAUCACCCAGGCUGUUGUCUUCUGUAACACCAAGAGGAAGGUUGACUGGCUGACAGAGAAUAUGAGAGAAGCCAAUUUCACUGUGUCGUCCAUGCACGGAGACAUGCCCCAGAAAAAGCGAGAGGCUAUUAUGAAAGAGUUCCGGUCAGGUGCCAGCCGGGUGCUCAUCUCCACAGAUGUCUGGGCUCGGGGCCUGGAUGUCCCUCAGGUGUCCCUCAUCAUUAACUACGACCUGCCCAACAACAGAGAACUGUACAUUCACAGAAUCGGGAGAUCGGGUCGAUAUGGACGGAAAGGUGUGGCCAUCAAUUUUGUGAAGAAUGAUGACAUCCGCAUCCUCGGGGACAUCGAGCAGUACUACUCCACCUAGAUAGACGAGAUGCCCAUGAAUGUGGCUGACCUAAUUUGA